GACUGGGACGCCCACAGAUAUCUGUGUAUCCUGAUCAAUAAAAAUCCUCUUGCAGAUUGCAGCCUGUGGACUCGGACUGGUCAUUGGGGCUUGAGGAUCUCCCUCCUGAGGGAAGAUUCUCUCUGAGAGUCUUACAUAUGGGGGCUCGUCCGGGAUCGGAGAUCCUCUGCCUAGAGACCACCGACCACCCACCGGGAGGCUAAAAGACCUACAGGUGAUACAGAAAGAAAUCUGCUCACAGCUGACAGCAACCUAUGCCCCGGAGACCCCUGAGACAUGUCAUCAGUUCCAGGUCGGAGACUACAGCUACACUGAGCCCAGACACUCGAGCCUCGCUGGAAAGGACCGUACCUGGUGCUGCUGACCACCCUGACAGCCAUCAAGUCUCAGCCCUCACCAGCAGCGUACUAGCUGUUGGGGCUGAGAGCUGGGACCUAGAGGGACACUCAGAUCUUCAAAAAGCUCCCUAGACUUAAGUGAUUGAGAGGUUGCUAUAAUGCUCACUUGAGGAGUGUGUUUUAGAAACAAGAAUUUCAUGUUUGCCUGUUUGCCCUGGGUUCCCUCGGAAUAGGUGUAAGGAUAGGCUUGAUUUUUAUUACAAAUGAUGUAACAUUACAUAUGUUAGUACUCCUAACACUUCUUGGGACUGUGCCUCAGGGAUCACAAUCUAUAUAAGUUUAGAAGUUCUA
rnacentral:lncRNA from 1 species